UACGGGUUAGGGUACGACAAAGGGUUACGCUUAGGGUACAUGUUAGGGUACGGAUUAGUGUUAGUGUACAGGUUAGGUUAGGGUACGGUUAGAGUAAGGGAUAGGGUAAUGGUUAAGUUUAGGAAAUGGGUAUGGUUUAGGGUAAAGGUUAGGUUAUGACAAUGGGUUAGGGUACAUCUUAGGGUAUGGGUUAGUUUUGGUUUAUGAGCUAGGAUUAGAGUAUGGGUUAGAGUUAGUGUUAGGGUUAGGGUACAGGUACAGUUAGGGUGUGACAAUGGGUUAGGCUUAGGGUACAUGUUAGGGUACAGAUUAGCGUUAGUGUAUGGGUUAGGAUUACGGUACAGUUUAGCGUACAACUGGUUAGGUUUAGGGUACGUGUUAGGGUUAGGGUAAGGGUUAGGAUUAGGGUUAGGACUAGGGAAUGGGUAUAGUUUGGAUACAGGUAAGGGUGUGACAAUGUGUUAGGGUUAGGGUACGUCUUAGGAUUAGGGUAAAGUUAAGGUAAGGCUUAGUGUAAGGGUUAGAGUUAGGGUUAGUUUUAGGGAAUGGGUACGGUUUAGGGUACAAGUUAGGUUAGGGUAUGUGUUAUGGUAUAGGUUAGUGUUAGUGUACGGUUUAGGAUUAGGGUACGGGUUAAGGUAAGGGUUAGGUUAAGGGUGAGGGUUAGGGUAUGACAGCAGGUUAGGGUUAGCGUUAGGGUUAGUGAACGGGUACACUUUAGGGUACGGGUUAGGACACGACAACAGGUUAAGGUUAGGUUACGUGUUAGUGUACGGUUUAGGAUUAGUGUACGGUUAGGGUAAGGGUUAGGGAUCGGGUACUGUUUAGGGUACAGUUGAGGGUACGACAAUGGGUUAGGGUACAUUUUAGGGUAUGGGUUAGUGUUAGCGUAUGGGUUAGGAUUAGGGUACGAGUUAGUGUAAGGGUUAUGUUUAGAGUAAGGGUUAGGGAACAAGUGCGGCUUAGGGUACAGGUUAGGGUAUGACAACGGGAUAGGGUUAGGGUACGGGUUAGUGUACGGGUUAGGAUUAGGGUAUAUGUUAGAAUAAGAGUAAGGGUUAGAGUUAGGUUUAGGGAACGGUUAUGGUUUAGCGUACAGGUUAGGGUAUGACAAAGGGUUAGGUCUUGGGUACGUGUUAGGGUACACAGUAGUGUUAGUGUAUGGAUUAGGAUUAGCAUAUGAGUUAGGGUAAGGGUUUGGGUUAGGGUACGGUUUAGAGUAUGGGUUAGUUUUGGUGUACAGGUUAGGAAUAGUGUGUGGGGUAGGGUAAGGAUUAGGGUAAGGGUAAGGGUUAAGGAUUGGGUAUGGUUUAGGUACAGGUUAGGGUACGGUAAUGGGUUAGCCUUAGGGUACUUAUCGGGGUACAGAUUAGCGUUAGUAUAAGGGUUAUUGUUAGGGUUAUUGUUAGGG